AGAGUUUGAUCCUGGCUCAGGACGAACGCUGGCGGCGUGCCUAAUACAUGCAAGUCGAACGCUUCUUUUUCCACCGGAGCUUGCUCCACCGGAAAAAGAGGAGUGGCGAACGGGUGAGUAACACGUGGGUAACCUGCCCAUCAGAAGGGGAUAACACUUGGAAACAGGUGCUAAUACCGUAUAACAAUCAAAACCGCAUGGUUUUGAUUUGAAAGGCGCUUUCGGGUGUCGCUGAUGGAUGGACCCGCGGUGCAUUAGCUAGUUGGUGAGGUAACGGCUCACCAAGGCCACGAUGCAUAGCCGACCUGAGAGGGUGAUCGGCCACAUUGGGACUGAGACACGGCCCAAACUCCUACGGGAGGCAGCAGUAGGGAAUCUUCGGCAAUGGACGAAAGUCUGACCGAGCAACGCCGCGUGAGUGAAGAAGGUUUUCGGAUCGUAAAACUCUGUUGUUAGAGAAGAACAAGGAUGAGAGUAACUGUUCAUCCCUUGACGGUAUCUAACCAGAAAGCCACGGCUAACUACGUGCCAGCAGCCGCGGUAAUACGUAGGUGGCAAGCGUUGUCCGGAUUUAUUGGGCGUAAAGCGAGCGCAGGCGGUUUCUUAAGUCUGAUGUGAAAGCCCCCGGCUCAACCGGGGAGGGUCAUUGGAAACUGGGAGACUUGAGUGCAGAAGAGGAGAGUGGAAUUCCAUGUGUAGCGGUGAAAUGCGUAGAUAUAUGGAGGAACACCAGUGGCGAAGGCGGCUCUCUGGUCUGUAACUGACGCUGAGGCUCGAAAGCGUGGGGAGCAAACAGGAUUAGAUACCCUGGUAGUCCACGCCGUAAACGAUGAGUGCUAAGUGUUGGAGGGUUUCCGCCCUUCAGUGCUGCAGCUAACGCAUUAAGCACUCCGCCUGGGGAGUACGACCGCAAGGUUGAAACUCAAAGGAAUUGACGGGGGCCCGCACAAGCGGUGGAGCAUGUGGUUUAAUUCGAAGCAACGCGAAAAACCUUACCAGGUCUUGACAUCCUUUGACCACUCUAGAGAUAGAGCUUCCCCUUCGGGGGCAAAGUGACAGGUGGUGCAUGGUUGUCGUCAGCUCGUGUCGUGAGAUGUUGGGUUAAGUCCCGCAACGAGCGCAACCCUUAUUGUUAGUUGCCAUCAUUCAGUUGGGCACUCUAGCAAGACUGCCGGUGACAAACCGGAGGAAGGUGGGGAUGACGUCAAAUCAUCAUGCCCCUUAUGACCUGGGCUACACACGUGCUACAAUGGGAAGUACAACGAGU
rnacentral:rRNA from 1 species